GCACACGUGGUGGAAUUGGUAGACAUGCUACUUUGAGGGGGUAGUGCUCGCAAGGGCGUAGGGGUUCAAAUCCCCUCGUGUGUACAA
rnacentral:tRNA from 1 species